rnacentral:rRNA from 1 species
GAUGAACGCUGGCGGCGUGCUUAACACAUGCAAGUCGAACGGUGAAGCCAAGCUUGCUUGGUGGAUCAGUGGCGAACGGGUGAGUAACACGUGAGCAACCUGCCCUGGACUCUGGGAUAAGCGCUGGAAACGGUGUCUAAUACUGGAUAUGAGCUCCUUCCGCAUGGUGGGGGUUGGAAAGAUUUUUCGGUCUGGGAUGGGCUCGCGGCCUAUCGGCUUGUUGGUGAGGUAAUGGCUCACCAAGGCGGCGACGGGUAGCCGGCCUGAGAGGGUGACCGGCCACACUGGGACUGAGACACGGCCCAGACUCCUACGGGAGGCAGCAGUGGGGAAUAUUGCACAAUGGGCGGAAGCCUGAUGCAGCAACGCCGCGUGAGGGAUGACGGCCUUCGGGUUGUAAACCUCUUUUAGCAGGGAAGAAGCUUUUGUGACGGUACCUGCAGAAAAAGCGCCGGCUAACUACGUGCCAGCCGCCGCGGUAA